AAAUACAUGCAAUGUUUCAAAAGCUUGAUUCAACAAAAAAAAAAUAUUGAUAGGAUAGGGAUACUACUCGUCCUAUCCUUACCUUAUUAUUGCUAGACUCCAUUAAAUAUUAAAGAACAACAACAAAUAAGCUUUAAUCCCAAACUAAUUGGGAUUAGCUAUGUGGAUUCUUUUUUCGCUAUUCAGCUCUAUUAAAAGGGGAGA
rnacentral:misc_RNA from 1 species